rnacentral:lncRNA from 1 species
UUAGAUUUACCUUGAGACGAGCAACAAGAGGUUCCUCUUUUGGUGUCUCUUCGGUUUUAGCUACCACUACUACUUCAGGUUGUCUCGGUGCACUCGAGACUUGUCUCUCUUUCAGAACCGUGUUGCUUUGAUUCUUCUCUAUUUCCCUUGCUGGGUCAGUGGCAGUUCCAUUGACUUCAGAAGAUGCACCAUUGUCUUUCUUCAACUUGGCAACAAGUACCCACAUGUUUGCCAAAUCAUUUUCUAGGGCUUCCUCUCUUCUCUUUGCUUCUUCUGCUUUUUUCCUGUAUUCUUCUUCUAUGAACUCUUUCUCUGACAGUGCAGACUCAAGAACCGCCUCUCGCUGUUUCCUUGCUUUCAACUCCAUUUUCAGAUCUUCCAGGUCGAGACUCCUUGAGUGAAACUCAUCUCCACUUGACCUACCCGAAGAGAUCCUUCCCUUUAUUCCUGACCUUGCCCCGUCGUUAUACUUGCGACUAUUAACUCCGUUCAUGGGGUUACGCGUUUGAGCCAAGUCUCUUGCAGCUGCUAAUUCUUUCUCGAGCUUUGUGUUUUGUAGUGAAAGUUUUGUUACUUCACUAGCCAGAUUUUUCAGCUCAACAGCAGCAGCAGAGGCUAGUUCCUUGGCGUAUGAAGCUUCUUCAGCUAGUUUUUGAUUUUGUACUCGUAAACCACUGUUCUCUUCCACGAUCUGGACAUGUUCUAGCUUCAAUUUCUCGUUCUUUAUCUCCUAAAAUAGAAGACAUAAACGUCUAUGUAAAAACAAGAGAUAAAAGUAUGUAACUAUUAACAGAGGAUCAAUUUUUUUUAUUAUUGUCUACGUUACGUGAUAUUAUCAUGCGGUUAUUUACUGACAUACUUACGAGAACGGAGAAUGUAUGUUUGUUUAUUUACCUGCGACUGUAUUUUCCUUUUUAGUUCAUCUGCAUACUCUCCAGAUGAUGCUGAUUUCUCACUAGAUACUGCUUUCAAACGUUGCUCUAGAAGGUUCACCUUUUCAUGUAGUUCUUUGUUCUCAGUGCACUACAUAUUUGGGAAAAGUGUGGUAAGAGGCAAUUUUCGCAGAACAGUGUUGAAAGGAUGAAAGAUAGUAAGCAAGAAGAACUGAGUAAAAAAAAAGAUGAGAACAAUGAACAACUUUAAAUGAAAAAAAAAGCUACCAACCUUCUUCUGUAGUUGUUCUUGAAGAAUGCAAUUAUCUGCUGAUUUGAUCUGUGCCAGAGGUAGAACCAAGUUAAACAUAUGGUUACUUUAAGCAACCUUUGAUUUGGCUCUUGUAGUAAACAAGGCGGUAUUUUCAGUAAAAGAAUAAAUCUUCACCUCUAGUUCAAAGCUCUUCUCAUUGCACUGGGUCAUUAAACUCAUUACUUUCUGAAAACAAGAAAAGAACAUAAUAUCUUAGCUGAAAGGGUCCAAAGUCAUGUUCUCGCAGUGAAGGGAUGUGGAGAUUGUAUACCUGUUGCAUCUCAACCAAUGAUGCGUUGGCAAUUGAUGCUUCACCACUCUCAAUUAUUAGCUGUUCUAAAGCCCUCAUUUGUCCUUGCUUUUCUUGAAUCUCGCGUUCCAGAUCCUGUAUCUGUAUGAAUAAUUUGGCAGGUGAAUUAUUUAAGCAAAGUAAAAUAGACACUUCAGGUAGACAGUCAAAUAAUCUUCUAAAAAAUCACAACAAAUAUCUUUGAAACGUGUUUCCGGUGGCAGAGUACACAAAUAUCAAAAGUAACAUUACCUGAGUUUGUGAGUUUUCCGGAUCAUUUACGGACUGGUCCACCAAACGCUUUAGAGUGCUCAUACUGAAAGCUACUUCGCCAGCAAGCAUCUUAACUUGUUCAACCAGAAGGUCAAUUUCAUCCGGCGUCAUGACACCCUAUAUGUAGCCAUUGUCCCCCAACUAUUAGAUUCCAUUUCUGCAAUCAAUACAAACUUUGGGGUAGUCUACUCACUUGAGUAAUUUCUGCACCAGGCGAGUUUUCGCCAUUCAACUUGCUGGAAGAUCUCCGGUGGUUAAAACCUAAAGAACCAUCUGAUACAGGAGCCAGGGUAGAAGAUGGAGAUCCCAGGUUAUCGUUAUCCAAGAGCAGAGAAGCGAAUUUCUGAAAAGCAAAGAAAAAACAGAAUGAUUCACUGUGUGUUUGAAAUAGCUUCUGAGAUAAGGCAGCAACAUGCAGCAGUAGAGUAAAAAAAAAGAUAGAACGAUAAAUUACUUUCCCAGAAAAGAUGCCUUGAGUAAACAAAAUAUAUACUUAUUCAGAAGAAAAGAUGGCAAGAAUUUGUUUCAUUGCGGACACAUCACUGGUUUGAUAAGAUAACUUACGUCAUCAUUUCCCGCAGAGAGACUGCGCUGGUGAGUGGGUACGUCACCCAAAUAUCCAGUUCUAGAAUUCUUGGUAGAUACGAGUAUGAGCUUGGUAAGCUUUUGAAUUCUGCUCAUUAGAGCAGCUUUGGCUUCUUCUUCUUCCUCCAAUCUUGACUGCAUUUUCACUUGACCUUCUUCCAACUGUUAUAAUACAUAGAUAGGUAGUUCAGUCACCGCCAUUGGUACACAGAAAAAUGUAUUCAGGAUAAAAAUGGUCUGCGGAAGUCAGAACCUGUUGCUUUAAGCUCAUCAACUCUUCAUGACUGACACCAACAAGCAUACCUCUUCUUAGCUGAUCAAGUUCUAGUUUGAGAAUUGAGAUCUCUCUUUGAUAUUUCUUAAUUAGUGACUUCUCAUCUAUAAUCUGCUUUUGGGACAUUAUAUAAUAAUCAUUAAGUGGAAGUUCGAGCUUGAACCAUUGAGUAGAGCAAGGUACUUUAUUAAAAAACAUGCUAAGAGAUCACCUGAUUGCGUGAAGCAUAGAUUUCUAUACUCUUUGCUCUGCUGGCGAAUUUCAAUGUAUUAUGAGUUUCCUCAUUACUGCUAGACGCGGGAGUAAUUGUACAUAUGAGCUAAAAAGGGAAAACAAAAUACUGAAUUAGUUUCUCUGUUGUUUUGGUGAAUUAGCGUGACUGCACUGCGUAGUGCGUACUACAGAUAUAUAGCCCAAAAUCCUCCAAAGUCAACCAUGGAAAAUAAUAUAGUGAAACUGGAAAGAUUUAACCAGAGACAGAAUAGUCUUACCGAAACAUGCCCAUGACCACUUAGUGAUGAUUGCAGAAGACGAGUUAACUUAGAGUCACGAUAUGGAAUGUGAGUUGCCUUACCCUCACUAAGUUUUCCAAUCACCUUCACAAAUAAAACAAGAAAUAAUUUUAGUAAAAGGCAGUUCCAUCGCAAGGGUUUGAGACUUAAAAUGCUACCACCGACAGACAAAAAGUACAAAAAAGGCAGCAUACUACUUAUCAGAAAGUCAAGCAUCAAGAGAUACUAGCACAAUAGAUCAUGAAAAACAGAAAUGUACUGAGAAUCCUAAGUGUAUUCCCAGCAACUGAAAAUUCUGUUAUGAUUCUUUAAUGACACCAAUGGGAUAUAGAAUCUAAUUAAAUUGUUCCUAUUAGCAAGUCCAGCAUUAUUCAGUAAUGAUGCUUUUGAUUGGCAUGCCAUCGUUACAUAUUAAAAAACAGAUAAUAAUGGAAGGAAUCCCCCGAAUUAAGAAAUGAAACCUACAGUUCCAAGAGUUAGAAGACUCUUGUUGAUGUAUGAACCCUCCUUCCUCCUCAAUCCAGUUGUCUCAGUUUUGGAACUCUCAGAACCAGCCAAGUCAAUCAAAUUCUAAACAAGAAAGAUAUACAGUUAGUCCCUUCUUGACAAAUGAAUGAUCUAUAUAUAAUAACUAAACGAAGAAGCACUUACGAGUUGAGAAAAAAUAACUCCAUCAUAUUCAUCUCCAGUAGCACUACUUUCAAUCAUCUGCAAACAUAUACAAAUUGGACUCAAAACAUGUAAUAAAGAGAGUUGUAAGAGCAAACAAAUAUCAUGCAGAGACACUUAGAAGAGCAAUACGUUACACUAUGACAAGUUUGGAUCUUGAAGACAUACCAGUGUAAAUAAAGUGUGACUUCUGCUGCUCAUCAAAUUGAAAUUAUUUGAACCAACGUGGCGAUGUUCUGUCAUAAAAACAACAGCAACACUAAGGAGAGGCAGGAGGGACAGAGUUCAGAACAUCAAGACAUGUGUCAAAGGUCAAGUUUUCUAAUUACCUUCUCCAGCUGCAAUGAAGGAUAGUACGUGACCAGGAGACAAAACAACUUCUUCCUUGAUACCCUCAACAUAAGUGCCCUAGAAAAACGAAUAGUACACUCUUUACUUAGCCAAAAUAAUUCUUAUAACAGGAGGAUAAAUAUUUAAGCUAAUUCGUUCUAAAUUAUUCUAUUUAGACCAUGAUGCUAUAAAACUGUACGUGCGUGAUAGAGAGAGAAUGAUAAAUCUAAGCAUUCAUUCAAUAGUGGUUAAAGCAAACCUGGGAAUCCUCUCUAACUCGUAAGUUUUGGCCUGUUGGAUCCAGUAAAUCAUUUAUCACCUGAUACAAGGACAGUAAUCAGAUAAACUGUAGACAGAUGAAACAGACAAACAAUCAAGUAAGAGUAAAGAGAUGACUCAAAUUUAUAUAAUUUAAGCAGUUGACUUCCCAGUGAUAAGGUAAAGGGCAUGGAAACAAAUCGCAGACUACUUUCCAAGGCUUAGCAAGUUAUGUAUCAAGGAGAGAAAGUUGGACUAACCUCGUUGUAUAUUUCAAGAUACGAAACACGGAGCAGGAACUCCCUUCCUGGAGUCUGAAAGAUAAUGACGUAGCCAAUUAGGGAAGAUGAAGUAAGUCAUAGGAGAAAAAAGAGAUGAAGACCGCUUACAUCCUGGAUGAUACUGAACACGUCUUUUAUUGCAAGCGGUAUGAUCCCAGGAGAUUCUUGAUCACCCUAAGCAUAUUGCAAUCAAAUGGAAAAACAAAAGGAAUAUCAUUUGUUUGGAUGGGAAUUUAAAAUCUAACAGAAUACCCAGAAGAAGAUAUCGAAGAAAAAAAGUCGUACAUGCAUGGUAUGGGUCUUUCCACUGCUUGUAACACCAUAGGCAAAAACGGUUCCUGCCAAAUUUCCAAAACAGUGAGUCAGUCAGGCUAUAAACAAUACUAAAUUGAAGGCAGCAAUGUUGGUUCCAUACCGUUAACACCUUCCAUGGCAGCCUUGACAACGGGUCUUGCAGCAACGUCAUAAACGUCCAUAGUAUUUGCUUGUGGUCCAAAUACUUUAUCUGACAUCCACAAAUUUGGAAAAAAUAUUCACUCACCACUAUAAUCAACUUGAACAAUAAUUAUCAUUUAAUAAAAAAAAAAGAGUUGGAAGGCGGAGAAUACCAAAAGCGUAGGCAGUGAGGGGAUUGUACUCGUGCCUGACCAUGGUAUCUCCAUCAGGAUACCAAGCAACUUCAUCUCCUCUUUGAUACUCUCUAUCACUGCAAUUUCAGAAUCCCAAUAAUUGAGGCAUUCGAAUAGCAUCUAGAUCUGGUGUAGGGCGAUCAGAUCUAAUUAAUAUACCUCAAAGGUCGAAAACGAACGGUGACGGAAAUGCUAUCCCGCUCGGAGCUGAUAGUCUCCUCCACAGGCUCGCCGAGAAGCUCCUCCGACGGGUAAGGGAGGGAGGAUCCAGUUCCGAAGCUCUCGGAGCCGAUUGGGCCGUAGUCGGAGAAGGUGCGACUGGUAGUCAUAGAUCGGGAGCCGAUUCCGCCGCCGGAGUUAGGAAGUGAAGAAGAACGGGGGACGAGGCGGUUGCUGAGAUGAGAAGAAGAAGUGGAAGAAGAGGGACUUGCUGGUCUAUUGUUAGAGAAGGGAGAGCUGCUCCUUGUUCGAGAUGAGGAUGAAGCCAUCCACUGACCUAGAAACUCGCGGGUGGGGGAGGAGGUCAACUCCGGCGACUCGGUCCCGGAAUCGGUGAGGAGAAUCGAUUCAGGAAAGGAAGAGAAUGUGUCAGUGGGGGGAGCUCACAUGGCUGCUGGAGACUGAAUAAAUCAUUCUAACCUUCUCUCUCUCUCUCCUUCUUUCGGUUGCUACAUAAUAGUUUGGUUUCUACAUUUUCUGUAAUAAAUUAAGAACACCCAAGAAUGGAAUGUAACAUAACUACAUUUUGCGUUCACUUGCAAAAAGAGUACCUUUGAUUUGCCUUUGGUUAAGACGGAAACGCAAAUAGGCGAUCAGAGAUCUUUGUCCGGCAAAUUGGGCAUUCAGAGCAAGCGAGGGAACAUGAUUUACAUACUGUACAAAAAAAUAUGGAACAUCUUUUCAAUAAAGAGAGAGAACCAAAGGCUUCAUGGGGAUGAAGUUCUGACUUACAGCAGAAAUGGCGGCAAGGGAGUAAAAUUGCUGCUGUGGGAGACUCGAAACAUACUUUACAGAUGUGAGAGUUUGCGUCUCCAUUCGCUUGCGAUUUCAUCUCUUUCUCCUUCAUUUCUUGCGUUCGUGCCUGUCUCAUUGUUACAAGAUCUUGUUUCAAUAUAUGUGAAUUAAAACCAUGUACGAAGUGUAGUAAUUAAGCUCAUCUCGUUAUAUUUACCUUGAGACGAGCAACAAGAGGUUCCUCUUUUGGUGUCUCUUCGGUUUUAGCUACCACUACUACUUCAGGUUGUCUCGGUGCACUCGAGACUUGUCUCUCUUUCAGAACCGUGUUGCUUUGACUCUUCUCUAUUUGCCUUGCUGGGUCAGUGGCAGUUCCAUUGACUUCAGAAGAUGCACCAUUGUCUUUCUUCAACUUGGCAACAAGUACCCACAU